rnacentral:rRNA from 1 species
UACGGGGGGGGGCAAGCGUUGUUCGGAAUUACUGGCGUAAAGGGCGCGUAGGCGGCCUUCUAAGUCGGACGUGAAAUCCCCUCGGCUUAACCGAGGAACUGCGUCCGAUACUGAAAGGCUUGAAUCCGGGAGAGGGAUGUGGAAUUCCAGGUGUAGCGGUGAAAUGCGUAGAUAUCUGGAGGAACACCGGUGGCGAAGGCGGCAUCCUGGACCGGUAUUGACGCUGAGGCGCGAAAGCU